GACCCAGCGACCGAACUGUCACCGUAUGGUGGCGUGCCCGAGACACCUCGGGAUAGGUCCUGGGUCGCUC
rnacentral:sRNA from 12 species